CUCCUCCUCCUUUUCCCGACCCGGGGCCCAGGCCACUCCAGCCGGUCCAGGACCCAUGUGGGACGGCCCCGGGGUGAGCAUCGCCAAGACCUCUGAUUGGAGUAAUUUUCUGGUAUAGAACGAAGCGAAUGUUUUGACCAGUGGUGGAAAUAUCAGCCAACAGUGGAAAAAUUGGCCAAAUCUUCCAACUGAAUAGAGCAUUCCUUCUCUUUGAAAGUACCUCACACAUCAAGAAAAAUGUACGGAAGUGCAAGAACAAUUACUAACCUGGAGGGGAGCCCCUCCAGAUCGCCUCGUUUGCCAAGGUCUCCUCGUUUGGGUCACCGACGAACAAGUAGUGGGGGAGGUGGAGGGUCAGGUAAGACUCUCUCUAUGGAGAAUAUUCAGUCCCUUAAUGCAGCCUAUGCUACGUCUGGACCCAUGUACCUGAGUGACCAUGAGGGUGUGGCUUCGACGACUUACCCCAAAGGCACCAUGACCCUGGGCAGGGCCACCAACCGAGCAGUCUACGGAGGCCGAGUUACAGCCAUGGGGAGUAGUCCUAAUAUUGCAUCAGCUGGACUUUCCCACACAGAUGUUCUUUCCUACACGGAUCAACAUGGUGGCCUGACCAGUUCCUCCCAUCAUCAUCACCACCAGGUACCCUCCAUGUUGAGGCAGGUAAGAGACAGCACGAUGCUAGAUCUUCAAGCCCAGCUCAAGGAACUCCAGAGAGAGAAUGACCUUCUUCGGAAAGAGUUAGACAUAAAGGAUAGCAAGCUGGGAUCUUCCAUGAACAGCAUCAAGACCUUCUGGAGUCCUGAGCUCAAGAAGGAGAGAGUCUUGAGGAAAGAAGAAGCAGCCAGAAUGUCUGUCCUCAAGGAGCAGAUGAGGGUUUCCCAUGAAGAAAAUCAGCACCUCCAGUUGACCAUCCAGGCCCUUCAGGACGAGCUGCGAACCCAGAGAGACCUCAACCAUCUCCUGCAGCAAGAGAGUGGCAACCGGGGAGCUGAGCACUUCACCAUUGAGCUCACCGAGGAGAACUUCCGGAGGCUCCAGGCUGAGCAUGACAGACAGGCCAAAGAGCUGUUCUUGUUGAGGAAGACUUUGGAGGAAAUGGAGCUGAGGAUAGAAACUCAGAAACAGACCCUCAAUGCCAGAGACGAGUCGAUUAAAAAGCUCCUUGAGAUGUUACAGAGCAAAGGUUUGCCAUCCAAGAGUUUGGAGGAUGACAAUGAGAGGACGAGGCGAAUGGCAGAGGCCGAGUCUCAGGUCAGCCACUUGGAAGUGAUUUUAGAUCAGAAGGAGAAGGAAAACAUACAUCUUAGAGAGGAGUUGCACCGAAGGAGCCAACUUCAGCCUGAGCCAGCCAAGACCAAGGCUCUCCAGACUGUCAUAGAGAUGAAGGACACAAAAAUCGCUUCAUUGGAGCGAAACAUACGGGAUCUUGAGGAUGAAAUCCAGAUGUUAAAAGCCAAUGGUGUGCUAAAUACUGAAGACCGCGAAGAAGAGAUCAAACAAAUAGAGGUUUACAAAAGUCACUCUAAGUUCAUGAAAACCAAGAUUGAUCAACUGAAGCAGGAACUUUCAAAGAAGGAGUCAGAACUUCUUGCCUUACAAACAAAGCUUGAAACCCUUAGCAAUCAAAAUUCAGAUUGCAAGCAACACAUUGAAGUGCUUAAAGAGUCGCUUACUGCCAAAGAACAGAGGGCUGCCAUUCUUCAGACUGAGGUAGAUGCAUUGAGGUUACGGCUAGAAGAGAAAGAAUCUUUUCUUAAUAAGAAAACUAAACAGCUUCAGGACCUCACGGAAGAGAAAGGAACACUGGCUGGAGAGAUUCGAGACAUGAAAGAUAUGUUAGAGGUGAAAGAGAGAAAAAUCAACGUUCUUCAGAAAAAGAUUGAAAACUUGCAAGAACAGCUUAGGGACAAAGAUAAGCAACUGACCAAUCUGAAGGACAGAGUGAAGAGUUUGCAGACAGAUUCCAGUAAUACGGACACUGCACUGGCAACUCUUGAGGAGGCUUUGUCAGAGAAGGAGAGAAUAAUAGAACGUUUGAAAGAACAGCGGGAGAGAGAUGACCGAGAAAGACUAGAAGAGAUAGAAUCCUUUCGAAAAGAGAACAAAGACCUGAAAGAAAAGGUUAAUGCUUUACAAGCUGAACUGAAUGAGAAAGAGUCUAGUUUAAUUGACCUCAAAGAACAUGCAUCUUCAUUAGCCUCUGCAGGGCUGAAAAGGGACUCCAAAUUAAAAUCUCUUGAAAUAGCCAUUGAGCAAAAGAAAGAAGAAUGCAGCAAAUUGGAGGCACAGUUAAAAAAGCAAGCUGAGCAGUUGUUCAAUCAGAUGUACAAUCCAGCUCAUAAUAUUGAAGAUGACUCCAGGAUGAAUCCCGAGUUUGCAGACCGAAUAAAACAGCUUGAUAAAGAGGCAUCUUACUACCGCGAUGAGUGUGGCAAGGCCCAAGCAGAAGUCGACAGGUUGCUGGAGAUCCUCAAGGAGGUAGAGAACGAAAAGAACGAUAAGGACAAGAAGAUUGCGGAACUGGAGAGGCAUAUGAAAGAUCAGAAUAAGAAGGUGGCCAACCUCAAACACAACCAACAAUUAGAAAAGAAGAAAAAUGCACAGUUAUUGGAAGAAGUUCGCAGGCGAGAAGAUAGCAUGGCUGACAACUCACAGCACUUGCAGAUAGAGGAGUUGAUGAAUGCUUUAGAGAAGACGAGACAGGAGCUGGAUGCCACUAAAGUACGCCUCGCCUCCACACAACAGUCUCUGGCUGAAAAAGAAGCACAUCUGGCCAACCUCAGGAUAGAAAGAAGGAAACAGCUGGAAGAGAUCCUGGAAAUGAAACAGGAAGCACUACUUGCAGCGAUCAGUGAAAAAGAUGCAAACAUUGCCUUGUUGGAAUUGUCUGCCUCCAAAAAGAAAAAGACGCAGGAUGAAGUUAUGGCCCUCAAGCGGGAAAAAGAUCGUCUAGUGCACCAGUUAAAGCAGCAGGUUUAUAGGCCUAGGAAACAGCCCCUGAGCUCGAAUAUACCAUGCACAUGUGAUGCUGGCUACAGCCCAGAUAUUACGGCCAAGUACCACGAGUCCAGCUACGAUGCAUACAUGAUCCAAAGGCCUCAGACACAGAACAGAAUGAAGCUAAUGGCGGAUAACUAUGAUGAAGACCACCAUCACUACCACCACCACCACCACCACCACCACCACCGAUCUCCUGGGAGGUCGCAACAUUCCAAUCUUCGGCCCUCUCCUGACCAGGAUGACGAUGAGGGGAUAUGGGCAUAGCCUGGCCUGUAAAUCAAAGUUCCAGUUUUGUUUUGAAGGAUGAUCCAGCUCUGUCGGAGGCACGGAGGCACAGUCAAAUCUCAUGCUGUACAUUGAUCACCUGUCCAACCUUUGCCUAGAGUGGGAGCCCCCAGUUCCUUCAAGAGAUCCAACUUUACCUGUCUGUAAAGAAGAAGAGGAGGAGGAGAGAGACAGCAGGGAGGAUCCAGUGGCAGAUUAACAUCAGAGCAGCUAUCAGAAGGGCUGAACAAAGAGAAAAUGCAGCUCUGCAGCAAUAUUCUGAUAAUCUAUUGCAGUGCGGCUCUCAUCACUGUCCAUCACCACUUGGAAUGGCUCAUCAGGACUGAAGAGGAGUUUUCACUUUCAUUUCUGAGCAUGUUUCCGUUCAACUUGAUAUUUACUUCAUCACCUCAUCUUGUUUCCCAUGGAUUCAGAUAGAUGGAAAGGAAGAAUGUGGCAGAGGAGAAAAGAAUGGCAACUCCUCUAUUGCUGGAAUUUGGAUAUCCAAUCUGUGAUCCUCUCUUCUGAAUGUCAUCAAUUGGUUACAUUUUAUUUAUGUCACUUGAACUUCAUUGGCUAACUUUAAACUUCAUGGAAUUGUAACUGUGGAUUUAGCUUCUGUUGGACACCUAGCUUUAUUUUCAUUUUUUUUGAUUUGGAACUGGUUCAAUCCAAGUGAUCAUUCCUAAUGCAUUAGAUUAUCAAAAGAUAUUAAGUCUCUGUGAGUGAAUGGUGUUGGCAGUGUUUGUACAACAAGGUGCAUGGAGUGUUUGACAAGGAAACCAAAACACCAAAAAUGGCGAGCCUUUACCCUCCUCUGUUUCUUUAAUCUGCUGUUCGAAGAAGCAUGAUUUGAUGGUGUAACCAAUAGUUACCUCUGGGCCAGGUUGGAAAUGAAAUCAAUUUUUUAAACCACUAAUACUUGCCAAGAAACCGCCUUAUGAGAACAUAGUGUGUGUCUCUGACAAUGCAUGGCACAUCUAAAUUGAUCAUUUAUUGUUUUAUCUACCCUGGCAAUGUACUGGAGAGUGGCAAAAGCCUGAGGCACCCGAGGCAUAGUCUUAAUCUAUGUGCUCCAUAUGUCCCCAGAGUUGGGAUGUGGCAAAGCCUCAGGCUCUUCUCAUUCCCAUACAUGCAGGUCUCCAUGAAGAAGCUGGGACUCAUUUUCAUUUCAAGACCCAAAUUACACAAACAGUGUAAGCUUAGGGCUUCUGUAAAUGAAGGUUCAUUUCUCUUUUUAUCUUUUAAAUAAUGUCUCCAACAUGGAUUCCAAAGGAUUUUUGCAUUCACAUAAAAACAUUGAUGAAUGAGGAAUAAUCAUCAAGCUGUGUAUCUGCAUAUAACUCUACACAACCAGUGUGUGAGUAUAAAGUCAUUCUUUAAAGCACAUGCCAGGGAAAGAGACCAAAGUUUGAGAUCCUUUACAUGUCACAUGGUACUAAGGAGACUUGAACUCCUACUACUUUCUCUAAGCAUUUAAGAAAACACACUUAAGUUGUUAUAACUUCAUAAAACUCAUGACCAGGUCUGCGAACAUGUGCAAUUCUAGUAUUGAUUCAUUUUUGUGUCAAUGGAAGAAAUCCUCCCACAUGUAUGAAAGUAGGAGAUGAAAAUCUACAUUUUUAAAGAACAAUGAAUUUAAGCAUGAGUGGCCUUAACAUAUAUAGUUGUCUUUUUUUUUUCUUUUUU